rnacentral:misc_RNA from 1 species
AUUGAUGAUCAUGAUUACCAAACAAAAUUACGUCAAGCAAUCAAGUUCUUGGAAAAAGGCGAUAAAGUUAAAGCAAGCAUUCGUUUCAGAGGUCGGUCAAUUACCCAUAAAGAUUUAGGAUUAGACGUCUUAGAAGACUUUAUUGAAGAUACUAAAGAGUUUUCAACUGUCGAAUCAAAACCAAAAAUGGAUGGCCGUAGCAUGUUUACUGUGCUCGCACCAAACACAGAAUCAUAAUAUUAUCAAGAAGAUAAGGAAUUUAGGAGGAUUAUUAUGCCAAAACAAAAAACUCACCGCGGGUUAGCUAAACGCGUU